CGGAGGACAGUGGUCACCUUGUCUUCUGACGUUCCAGCGGCCACCCACAUCCACACAGUCAGACUUGUUGGAAAACCACUCUGGUCAUGGCCCAGUGCUCGAGCACUGCUGGACCACAAGGAGCCAGGAAAUAAAUGGAAACCCUGCUCUCUCUUCCCCACCCACCUCUCCUGCUUCCCCUGGAGCCCAAGGCCUGUCUAUGCCAGUCAUAUCCAGCCAAGGCACCCACAUCUCUCAUGAGCAGCAACCAGCUAAUCUAGUAAAAGAUUAAAAGAUCCCUGAGCCUUGAGGGGAAGACUUCAGUAAUGACAUCCCAUUCGGGACUGAGUGCUCCAAUCUCUCACUCUGCACAUUGCCCAGUUAUGGGUCUCUGUGUUGGCUCCUGUCUAUUGCAAGAAUAACUUGCCCUGAUGAGGGUUGAGUGAUCUAUGGGUACAGCAACAUGUCAUUAGGAGUCGUUUUGUUACUGUGUUCAUUUAGCAGAAUAAUAAAUAGUAGGUUUUCCCCUAAGUCCAUAACUCAUCGAGUCUCAGGUUCUUCACUGCUUUAAUGGUGUCAGGUGUGGAUUCCAUCCUGUUUUAGAUUUUUAAGUGCUUGUUGAUUUCAAAGCUCUCAAACUAAGAGCAGCCCAAGCUGAAUUUAUUAUCUUUGACAUAAAUUACGCUAUAGCUUACCCCUUUUGCUAUUUCAAGGAAUAGAUCAUCUCAUAAUGAUUUCAUAAAGCAUUGUACUGGCCAGUUUUAUGUCAACUUGACACAAGCUAGAGUCAUUUGGAAAAAGGAAACCUCAACUGAGAAAAGUUCAGCUUGUGGACAAGUGUAUGAGGGCAUUUUCUUGACAGAUGUGGGAGGGCCUUGCUUCCUGUGGUGUACCACCCCUAGGCUGAUGGCCAGGGGUACUGUAAGGAAUCAGGCUGAGCAAGCCAUGAGCAGGCAAGUCAGUAAGCAGCACUCCUCCAUGGCUUCUGCAUCAGCUCCUGCCUCCAAGUUCCUGCUUUGAGUUCCUGUCCUGACUUCUUCUGAGAAUAUACUAUAAUGUGAAACUGAAAGCAAAAUAAAUCCUCUCCUCCCCAA